UCUCUUCAGCGAGGCAAUUUUCUUUUGGAGGGAAGCUGUGCAAGUGCGGACAGACACUACGCAUGCUCAGAAGCUCUUCUAAUGAAUGUGGGAUGGCGAGGGAUGAGAGCUUGGUAAAAAGCAGUGAGAUUGAGAAUCGAGCUACAUCCGAAUACUUAUCUUAGAUGUUGAGGAAAACCAGGAGAUGGAGCAGACAAUCCUAGGAAUAUUUGCCAUAAAGCAGGAAGGUGCAGAACCCACAGAUGAGGUGGAGGAUGUUAGAAUUAUCAUUGAAGGUGUGGAGGUGCUUCGUGACCUUGGUAACAUUGCAAAUGCAGUCGCCAUUUUAUUUGGCCUCAUGUACUCCCUGGACUUGAGCUACCCAACAAAAAGUACACAUUUGAGGUUCUACAAAAAGUUGUGAUGGAACUGGAUGGCAGACAUCUCUCAAGAAAGGCUCAAAAACAAACUGUUUGAAGGGACAGUGUAAACAUCACAUUGCAAGUUGCAAUGAAGGCUUGGAGCUAAAAAAAAAAAAAAAU